UCUGGUUGGCUGGGACCCUGGCAGCAGACAGAGGACAGACAGUGCCCAGGACUUCUCUUGCUCUGGUGAAAGAGUCUCCUCCUGUCCAGCUCCCCCCCCACGGCCCAUCUGGUGAUGCUGCGGGCCCUGAUGUCCCAGUCAAGGCAGUGACUGGACCCUCCCGUGCACCCUCAUCCUGCAAAGGCCAUUCUGACAAGCCCUUGAGUAGAGGCGGAUGCUGCUUGCCAUGGAGGCCGAAGAUGGAUCAAAAUAGGCACAAAGUCAAAAGGCAAAGGUCAAACAAAAGGCUGGAAUCAUCACCCGAAAUGAACAAACGAAAUCUGCACCACCAACACUGGCCACAUGGAUGGGAGAGCUCUUUUCCUCUGCCUAGCUCCACCCUGGUGUUGGACAUGACAGCAAAGGGCUGAUGGAAAAUCCUUGGCAGGCUAGGGGGCACUGCUCCGGGUGGUGUCUGGGGGCCCACGGAUGUAUGUACAGGUGUCAAGGUGGGCUGCAUCAAAGAGCUGUACUCUCAGACUCUUCUUCUGAGUCCCUCUUGUCAGUCACCACGUGCCGCUGUGCAUGUUCCAGGGGGCUCAGGCGGAGCGUUGACCCCAGCUCUAUGUGGAUGGAGGGGACAUCAAAGUGGACAAGAUCUGCAGAGAGAGGAGGAGGUGAAGGGGGGCCAGUUGAAAGCAGUGUGGCCUGGUUAUAUGCUCAGACUUGCUCAUUAGAAGUUGGACACUACUGGGUGUGGCUGGGUCUGGUCUAAUGCCUGGGAGCCUGGCUAGGGGACAAGGCUGUUCCAGUCUUUCAGCCUCUGUAUCCAAGUCCUGAUAAGCAGGGUGUUCCCAGGAAGGCCUCAGUACCAUCUACGAAUCAGCCUACAGAGACAGUCACUGUCCUCACUCAGAAACUGCUGUGUGGUAGCAGCUCAGGGAGGCAGGACAGAAUCUUCCAUAGGAUGCUGGAUCCAACCCCACUGCCAUCACCUGUUUUGACUUUCACAAGGAACACUAAAAGGUCAUCCUGACAAAGGCAGGGAGGAUGAAUGUACCAGAGGUUACAAGGCUUAGUGUCCAGAUAUCUGGGAGUCAGCCAAGAGAGAACAGCUUCACAGGGCCAUCAGCUGGGCACUCGGCCUCUUGGACACGCACGCUGGAAGUGAGUGGUCCUGGAGCCUCAGGAGGGUAGAUCUGGAGGGCCCAGCCUGCUGAGGCCCUGGGCUGCAGGAGGUGAGUUGGGAUGAUGGGUUUUUGGGACCCUUCACCCCUAGUUAUAUCAUUCCCUCUGUCCACUUCACUUAGUUCUGGACGUCUGUGAGUCGUGCAACCUGAGCUGGCAACAGCAUUCUAACUGAGCACACCAACCUGGCAGGGGCUUGGCCCUAGGCCACUCAGAAGAAGCCGGCUGGCCAGAUGGCUCUUCCCCAUGAUGCUGCAAGUCCUGACCUGUGACAAGCACUUGCUAUUUGACUAGCAUUUUCACUGGCAGCCGAGAGCUGGACCCCAUCUGUGGCUGCCAUCUCAUCCAGGGAAGAACAUGACAAGUUCUAUGACGAUGCGGUGGGAGCAGAGUCCCACUGUACCCAAGGAGCCUACUGGUCUUGGCAUGUACAUGGCACAGAGUGCAUGGCGGGCCUCCGGUGCCUGUGGCGCAUUCUCCUCACUGAUGACGGCUGGGCGGUGCCACGGCUUCAACAGAGCAGGCUCAACAAGCCACGGGGAGCGAGCCAGUAAGCAGCACUCCUCCAUGGCCUGUGCAUCAGCCCCUGCCUCGAGUUCCUUUCCUGACCUCGCUGGAUGACGAAAUGUAAGCUGUGAGGUGAAAUAAAUCCUUUCCUCCCAAA